rnacentral:rRNA from 1 species
AACUAACGCUGGCGGCGUGCCUAACACAUGCAAGUCGUACGAGAAAGCCGGCUUCGGCUGGUGAGUAAAGUGGCGCACGGGUGAGUAACGCGUGGAUAAUCUGCCCUUAAGUGUGGAAUAACGUACCGAAAGGUGCGCUAAUACCGCAUAAUGCCUGGCAACACAAGUUGUCCGGCCAAAGAAGGCCUCUGUUUACAAGCUUUCGCUUCAGGAUGAGUCCGCGUACCAUUAGCUUGUUGGUGGGGUAAUGGCCUACCAAGGCUGCGAUGGUUAGCUGGUCUGAGAGGAUGAUCAGCCACACUGGAACUGAGACACGGUCCAGACUCCUACGGGAGGCAGCAGUGAGGAAUAUUGCGCAAUGGGGGCAACCCUGACGCAGCAACGCCGCGUGAGUGAGGAAGGUUUUCGGACUGUAAAGCUCUGUCGAGCGGGAAGAAGUGUACCAUGGCUAAUGUCCAUGAUAUUUGACGGUACCGCUAGAGG